GAAAAAUAGCGAGCAUUUAGGCAGCGUAGGGUGAUGUCACACACCUUUUGGGAGGGCACAAUUUUCUGUUCUUGCCUCGGGUGCAAAAGGAGCUAGCUA